rnacentral:rRNA from 1 species
UACGGAGGGUGCAAGCGUUGUCCGGAAUUAUUGGGCGUAAAGAGCUCGUAGGCGGUUUGUCGCGUCGAAUGUGAAAACCCGGGGCUCAACCCCGGGCCUGCAUUCGAUACGGGCAGACUAGAGUUCGGUAGGGGAGUCUGGAAUUCCUGGUGUAGCGGUGAAAUGCGCAGAUAUCAGGAGGAACACCGGUGGCGAAGGCGGGACUCUGGGCCGAUACUGACGCUGAGGAGCGAAAGCGUGGGGAGCAAACAGG